rnacentral:rRNA from 1 species
CAGUCGCCGCGGUAAUACGAAGGGGGCUAGCGUUGUUCGGAAUUACUGGGCGUAAAGCGCACGUAGGCGGACAUUUAAGUCAGGGGUGAAAUCCCCGGGCUCAACCCCGGAACUGCCUUUGAUACUGGGUGUCUUGAGUGUGGAAGAGGUCAGUGGAAUUGCGAGUGUAGAGGUGAAAUUCGUAGAUAUUCGCAGGAACACCAGUGGCGAAGGCGGCUGACUGGUCCACAACUGACGCUGAGGUGCGAAAGCGUGGGGAGCAAACAGGAUUAGAUACCCCCGUAGUCCCUGUCUCUUAUAC